AUACGGAGGGUGCGAGCGUUAAUCGGAAUUACUGGGCGUAAAGGGUGCGUAGGCGGCUUGAUAAGUCGGAUGUGAAAGCCCCGGGCUUAACCUGGGAAUUGCAUUCGAUACUGUCAGGCUAGAGUAUGUCAGAGGUUGGAGGAAUUCCUGGUGUAGCGGUGAAAUGCGUAGAUAUCAGGAGGAACACCAGUGGCGAAGGCGGCUAACUGGGACAAUACUGACGCUGAGGCACGAAAGCGUGGGGAGCAAACAGGAUUAGAAACCCUUGUAGUCC
rnacentral:rRNA from 1 species